GGGGCCAUCGUCUAGUGGUUAGGACACCAGGUUUUCAUCCUGGUAACAGGGGUUCGAUUCCCCUUGGCCCUACCA
rnacentral:tRNA from 1 species